AUCCCAUACUGAUUACAAAGCUGCCCGACAUUAAACUAAAAGCACCUAACAAAAUACUACAAAACUACUCAACAUCCUACAUAGAACUAAGCUAGAACACUGCCAAUUAAACAUUUGGAUCCGACCUAAGUCACACAGAGCGUGAGCGGGUCAAAUGCGGGAGCACAAAAGCGUCAAUUGUUUGAAGGACCGGAAUUAAGUGCAUCAUUAGAGCAUCAAUAUUUAAUAAAUACAAAUAUAUCUAUUAUAAGGUCUUAUUUGUACUUGUGCGUUCUAUAAUUUGGUAUGUAUAAUAUUUGAUCACACCAGAAAUUGUACCGGUAGUAUAUAAUAAGUAUAUUACAUAUAGGGGCCGGUUCCAUGGACAUCAUUUUUUACACAACUUUUGCCACUUCAUCUCAACCCUUGAAAUGGAGGGCUGAGAUUAAACCUUAAAAGGGGAUAUUGUACUCAAUAAUUUUCCCCCUCUCUCACCUCUCUAACAUUUUCUCUCUCCUUGUACACUCACAAAUCAAAACACUGGCGACUCCCCUCCCCACUCCGGCGCCUCCAUCUCCGACGAACACCAUCUUCUCUCUCUCCCGAUGUUAGCAUCAACAAGAGUUUACCAAUUUCCAAUGUAACCCUUUCAAGAUUUUUUAAUGGGCAUAAAAAGAAAAAACCAUGGAAACCCAUAACAUUCAAGAUUAACAUUCAAUUUUCAGAACCCAUAACCCCAUUUCAAUUUCUGGACGGAAAUAACAUCCAAAAAGUUCAAGUGCAAAGCAAAAUCACAUUACAAUUGCAGAGAUUAGCAUCCUCCUCUCUGGUUUUAGAGGUAAUUGUUUUGAUUUUGAUCAAUUGGUAAGAAGAUUAGGGCUUCAUUGGGGAUUCGAGAGAGGGGUGUGAGAGAGAGAGAGAAGUGCGAGGGUGGGCAGGAGAGACAGAGAGAACGCCGGAGCUGAGUUCGCCGGGUACGGGAGUCGCCGGAGUCGCAGGUGGUGGCGUGUCGGUGAGGAGAGAGUACGUGAGGGUAGAGACGACAUAGAAACGUGAGAUGGAAAGACGGGGAGCUAUUCAGAGAGAGAGAGAGAGAGUACUGGGUUGAUUGCCGGAGAUGGGUUUGCCGAUGAGGACUCUCAGCGGAUAUGGAGGGGCAAGGGAGGCCCAGGAGGGGAUGGAGAGAGAGAGAGAGAGAGAGAGAGAUUGGGUGAGGUUGGGUGUGUGUGCCAUUUUAAGAGUUUUACUCUCAACCCUCCAUUUCAAGGGUUGAGAUAGAGUGGUAAAAGUUGUGUCAAAGUUGAUGUCCACGGAACCAGCCCC